UGUAAACAUCCUUGACUGGAAGCUGUGAGGCGUUCCCAGGAGCUUUCAGUCGGAUGUUUACA
rnacentral:pre_miRNA from 1 species